UACGGGGGGGGCAAGCGUUGUUCGGAAUUACUGGGCGUAAAGGGCUCGUAGGCGGCCAACUAAGUCAGACGUGAAAUCCCUCGGCUUAACCGGGGAACUGCGUCUGAUACUGGAUGGCUUGAGAUUGGGAGAGGGAUGCGGAAUUCCGAGGUGUGAGCGGUGGAAAUGCGUAGAUAUCUGGAGGAACACCGGUGGCGAAGGCGGCAUCCUGGACCAACACUGACGCUGAGGCGCGAAAGCUAGGGGAGCAAACAGGG
rnacentral:rRNA from 1 species